CAUGUGAGCCAAAGCUUUCCAGAAAAAGGGAAGUAAUUUGGGUGGUUAAAAACACCGGCUAGAGGUGGAAAGUUCAGGUCCAGAAAGUACAAAUCCAGGCCAAGGUUUUGUUCCACCCAACCAGUUGGGUAUAAAGAGUCACAGUCACAGAGUACUCAACUGGUUGGUUGACGCUGGGAAGGCAUACACAAAUGCAGAUGCUUACAUUCUGGAGCCUACUGGUUGUUUAAUGUGUUUACCACCUUGAUCUUGAUGCUGUUCAAUGACACUCGAAUCAUGUAAGUGCUUUCUCCACACCGUCAUCAAUCCCCCCACACCACAAGGCACCACCCCACCCUACCGUCUCUGUCAUAAAUUUAGACUGGAGUAAGUUCUGCCAAAACAAAGGCCCUCAAGUUCCUGGAAAUGCUUGCCGGUGGCCCCAUUACAAACCACAUAACUGCACCAGUUCUGAUAAAUCAAGAUUGCUUUCCAGGAAGCAGCCAGAGGUCCUUCAGAAAAGCCACCUCCCUCGAAUAAACUGCACCUCCAGGUCUUGGGGGGGACCGUGGCCAGCGGGUGAGAGAUAGAGAUGAACUUCAAUAGACCAACUAACCAAAGCGAUCUGUGUGCUCAGCCGAAACGUUAUUUUUAUCAUGGCAUGCAAACCCCACUUCUUAGAAGGGCUUAUCUGUCAUGAUUAAGGAAUUCAAAUCCUGGCAGCUAUAUACAGUUCUUGGUAGGAAGGACCCAGAAGCAAAGAGGAUUGUGGGAUACAAACUGAAAGUUCAUCAGUGUGUUCUGCCUUUCUCCUCUCAUGUGGAAGAUCCACUUUGACAUUUCUGUUGUGUUUUCCAUAACCCCAUCUCUACCUGAUCCAUGCAGCUGGAUGCGGAUGCGCGAUGAGCCUGGCCCUCUCACCUACCUGGAUGUCAAAGCACAGGGUCCGAACCUGUCGAGCCAGAGACGGCAGCCCCAGCUCUGCGUAUGAUGUGACAGAUGCUGCUCAGUGCUACUCAAAGGAUGAAGUGACAUCAAGGCUGCAGAUAAACUAAGAAGACGCCAAGUGUGCAGGCGGGGGGGGGGGCUAGCAGAUGUUAAGUGAGUCCAGUGUGGCACAAGGUCCCGGCUACGUACGUGUCCUGCUGAAUUACUGGAAGCAGAAGAUAAAGCCUGGCUACGUGUGUUACGGGCCGGAAGCUCGCAGUACCUGUGGUAUGCCACAGCGACCGGGUCAUUUUUCAAAACAGCACAGAGCCCGCUGGGGACAGGACCAGCUGGCAGACGGCCUCGCUGCAGGGGCUGUCACCAAAUAUCACAUCUGGCCCGAAAGCGUAGAACUGUCAUCAGAGACUGACACACAGAGUGUGAUCCCUCUCACCUUCCAGCACGCUAUCUGCAUAUGAAUCAUAUUUAAAAAUCGGCAUGGGUCCCAGCAAAUGUCGGGUCGUGUUUUUUCUGUAACUCUCGCUCAGAAUAUGCAGAUUGGUACUUCUAAGGCUGGCCGGGGCUGUCCAAA